rnacentral:sRNA from 1 species
GCCAGGUAUGGUGGCGCACGCCUGUAAUCCCAGCUGCUUGUGAGGCUGAGGCAGGAGGAUCAGGAGUUCAAAGCCAGCCUUAGCAACUCAGGGAGGCCCUAAGCAACUUAAUGAGACCCUGUCUCUA